rnacentral:misc_RNA from 1 species
UUAAGUUCAGCGGGUAGUCCUACCUGAUUUGAGGUCAAAGGUUCAAAAUAUUGUCCUAGGACGAUUAUAGGCGCAGCACAUUUAAAAAGUUGCACUUUCAUGCCACGAUGAUCAUUAUCACACCGAGACACUGGUCGCACAACACAUGCUUCGCCAAUGCAUUUCAGAGGAGCCGAACCAACAAAGGUCCAGCAAACCCC